rnacentral:tRNA from 2 species
GCCACCAUGGCUCAGUUGGUAGAGCAGCGCAUUCGUAAUGCGCGGGUCGGCGGUUCGAGUCCGCCUGGUGGCUCCA